rnacentral:rRNA from 1 species
GGAAGGAUCAUUAUCAGUCUCUGGCUGUGCAUGCUGCAUGUGCAAUCCAAAACAAACCACUCUGUGUACUUUUCCUGUUGCUUCCAUGGGGCAUGGUGUCUUUGCAUCACUCCGCGGUUGGUCUUUAUUGGCUGCUGUUUGGAGAGUCUCCAUGAAAGGUUAUUGACCAAAUCACUUGCUGUCUUGUAUUUUCAGUCUGAAUAUGAUAAAAUUAAUAUAGUUAAAACUUUCAACAACGGAUCUCUUGGUUCUUGCAUCGAUGAAGAACGCAGCGAAAUGCGAUAAGUAGUGUGAAUUGCAGAAUUCAGUGAAUCAUCGAAUCUUUGAACGCACAUUGCGCCCUUCGGUAUUCCGGGGGGCAUGCCUGUUCGAGCGUCAUCAAAAACAUCUCAAGACAUGUUCUUGGUCAUGGAGAGUGGUUGACUUUAUGUCACCCACUUCCUAAAUUGAUUGGCAGAUUGCAAAACUUUCACCGAGUGUAAUAAUAAUAACCAUUCAUGACGUGACUUUUGCAUAUUGAGCUAUAAACCCUCAUUUAUUAUUCAGGUUGACCUCGGAUCAGGUAGGGAUACCCGCUGAACUUAAGCAUAUCAAUAAGCGGAGGA